GACGAACGCUGGCGGCGUGCCUAAUACAUGCAAGUUGAGCGCUGAAGGUUGGUACUUGUACCGACUGGAUGAGCAGCGAACGGGUGAGUAACGCGUGGGGAAUCUGCCUUUGAGGGGGGGACAACAUUUGGAAACGAAUGCUAAUACCGCAUAAAAACUUUAAACACAAGUUUUAAGUUUGAAAGAUGCAAUUGCAUCACUCAAAGAUGAUCCCGCGUUGUAUUAGCUAGUUGGUGAGGUAAAGGCUCACCAAGGCGAUGAUACAUAGCCGACCUGAGAGGGUGAUCGGCCACAUUGGGACUGAGACACGGCCCAAACUCCUACGGGAGGCAGCAGUAGGGAAUCUUCGGCAAUGGACGAAAGUCUGACCGAGCAACGCCGCGUGAGUGAAGAAGGUUUUCGGAUCGUAAAACUCUGUUGGUAGAGAAGAACGUUGGUGAGAGUGGAAAGCUCAUCAAGUGACGGUAACUACCCAGAAAGGGACGGCUAACUACGUG
rnacentral:rRNA from 1 species